rnacentral:ribozyme from 2 species
GCCCUAAUGCAGCUCCCCGUGGGGGAACGGUCACAAGCCCGUGGAAAUGCAGAGUGAGGC